UAGGGAAUCUUCGGCAAUGGGGGGAACCCUGACCGAGCAACGCCGCGUGAGUGAAGAAGGUUUUCGGAUCGUAAAGCUCUGUUGUUAAGGAAGAACGAGUGUGAGAAUGGAAAGUUCAUGCUGUGACGGUACUUAACCAGAAAGGGACGGCUAACUACGUGCCAGCAGCCGCGGUAAUACGUAGGUCCCGAGCGUUGUCCGGAUUUAUUGGGCGUAAAGCGAGCGCAGGCGGUUAGAAAAGUCUGAAGUGAAAGGCAGUGGCUCAACCAUUGUAGGCUUUGGAAACUGUUUAACUUGAGUGCAGAAGGGGAGAGUGGAAUUCCAUGUGUAGCGGUGAAAUGCGUAGAUAUAUGGAGGAACACCGGUGGCGAAAGCGUCUCUCUGGUCUGUAACUGACGCUGAGGCUCGAAAGCGUGGGGAGCGAACAGG
rnacentral:rRNA from 1 species